GCCAGGCAUGGUGGCCCAUGCCUGUAAUCCCAGCUACUUGGGAGGCUGAGGCAUGAGAAUUGCUUGAACCCAGGAGGCAGAGGUUGCAGUGAGCUGAGAUCAUGCCACUGCACUCUAGCCUGGGCAACAGAGUGAGACUCUGUCUUAA
rnacentral:SRP_RNA from 1 species